rnacentral:lncRNA from 1 species
GGAUGAUGAGGCACCAGCUAUUGCCUAAUUAGCGAGCUUGGAGGCUUUGCUGUGUGGGAAGAGAUUCAGCGAGGGCUCAGGGAGGGGGAGAUGUGUGGCUGCCUGCUGGCAGCACCUUCCAGGUCCCCUGGCCCUCCUCGGCCAGGUGCUGUCACCUCGAGCCUUGCCUCAGCCCCAGCCAAGGCCCAGGGCAGUGUCUUUAUGGGUCACUCGUGCUUGUGACAAGCUUUGACACAAGAGUUCGGGCUCUGCGGAUAGAUCAGUCUUGCCGCUGUGUGGGAUUCACUCUGUGGAUGUGGGAUGGCUGUAAGAAGCGUGUGGGGGGCUCUGAUGUUGAACUUAGCAGCGGGGAAGAGGGACAGAGUGGGUCUGUAUGGGUGGGAUGAAGGUAAAGGAGGAAAGCUGGUGCUUUGCUGUGCCACACUGUGCCGUGCCUUUGGGCUGCUGCGCUGUGCAGCACUGCGUGGCAUCUUGUGGUGCCAUGCUGUGCCAUGCAUUGGAGCACCAGGACCCCGUGUUCCCAUUCUGGGGUGCUGGAUGGGAGUCGUGGGAUUCGGGAGAUGAGAGCAGUGCUUGCAGGCUCUGCACAGGGGACAAAGCAUGGGGGCUGAUCGCUGCUCGUAUACCAAGAGCCGUGUCCAGGCACUGAUGUCCAUGGCACACAUAGGGCCACCAGCAGAACGGGGACCCUCCUGCGAGGGCUCCCUGCCUCAGUUUCCCCAUUGGCAGCAGGAAUCGCUGCAUUGCUUCAGUGCUGCGAAGGGCGUGGGGCGGGAUGCGGGCGCUGCGUUGCGGACAGAAGGGGCACAAUGGGACAAGGGCGGCUCGGGGCCGAGUCCCCCGGCAUCCCGCAGGCUCCGUGCCGAGCCGAGCAGCGCCGAGCCGUGCCGAGGGCGGGCGCUGCGGCCGUGCCUGCGGGAGGAGUCCCUUCUGCGGUGCCGCCCCCCGGUGCCGCCCCCGGCCAGCAGAGCCAGGCCGGGCACCGCCGCUUUCAGCCGCGCCGAGCCGAGCCGAGCCGGGCUGAGCCACGCUGGGGCAGCGGCCAUGUACGGUGUGUGUGGCUGCUGCGGUGCCCUGCGUCCCCGCUACAAAAGACUUGUUGACAACAUCUUCCCCGAGGACCCAGAGGUAAGUGAGGAGCUGCUUCACCCUCCAAAGCAUCUGUGCUCUGCUGGGCUGUGAUACUCCUACAUCUUGGGU